GAAGGAUCAUUACCGAGUGAGAGGCCCUCUGGGUCCAACCUCCCACCCGUGUUUAUUUUACCUUGUUGCUUCGGCGGGCCCGCCUUAACUGGCCGCCGGGGGGCUUACGCCCCCGGGCCCGCGCCCGCCGAAGACACCCUCGAACUCUGUCUGAAGAUUGUAGUCUGAGUGAAAAUAUAAAUUAUUUAAAACUUUCAACAACGGAUCUCUUGGUUCCGGCAUCGAUGAAGAACGCAGCGAAAUGCGAUACGUAAUGUGAAUUGCAAAUUCAGUGAAUCAUCGAGUCUUUGAACGCACAUUGCGCCCCCUGGUAUUCCGGGGGGCAUGCCUGUCCGAGCGUCAUUUCUGCCCUCAAGCACGGCUUGUGUGUUGGGCCCCGUCCUCCGAUCCCGGGGGACGGGCCCGAAAGGCAGCGGCGGCACCGCGUCCGGUCCUCGAGCGUAUGGGGCUUUGUCACCCGCUCUGUAGGCCCGGCCGGCGCUUGCCGAUCAACCCAAAUUUUUAUCCAGGUUGACCUCGGAUCAGGUAGGGAUACCC
rnacentral:rRNA from 1 species